AUACGGAGGGUGCAAGCGUUAAUCGGAAUUACUGGGCGUAAAGCGCGCGUAGACGGCAUUGUAAGUCGGAUGUGAAAGCCCUGGGCUUAACCUGGGAAUGGCAUUCGAUACUGCAGAGCUAGAGUAUGGUAGAGGGAAGUGGAAUUUCCGGUGUAGCGGUGAAAUGCGUAGAUAUCGGAAGGAACACCAGUGGCGAAGGCGACUUCCUGGGCCAAUACUGACGCUGAGGUGCGAAAGCGUGGGGAGCAAACAGGAUUAGAAACCCCAGUAGUCC
rnacentral:rRNA from 1 species